CUAAGUUUGGCAUCACAGUACAAGAAUAGGAACAAUACAGAGAAUAUUGGAACAGUCCAUGCAUAAGGAUGACAUACAGAUUCAUAAGAACUUCACAUUUUGG